rnacentral:rRNA from 1 species
AGUCGAACGAUGAUCCCCAGCUUGCUGGGGUGAUUAGUGGCGAACGGGUGAGUAACACGUGAGUAACCUGCCCUUGACUCUGGGAUAAGCCUGGGAAACUGGGUCUAAUACCGGAUAUGACCGAUCACCGCAUGGUGUGUUGGUGGAAAGCUUUUGUGGUUUUGGAUGGACUCGCGGCCUAUCAGCUUGUUGGUGAGGUAAUGGCUCACCAAGGCGACGACGGGUAGCCGGCCUGAGAGGGUGACCGGCCACACUGGGACUGAGACACGGCCCAGACUCCUACGGGAGGCAGCAGUGGGGAAUAUUGCACAAUGGGCGCAAGCCUGAUGCAGCGACGCCGCGUGAUGGAUGAAGGCCUUCGGGUUGUAAACAUCUUUCAGUAGGGAAGAAGCGAAAGUGACGGUACCUGCAGAAGAAGCGCCGGCUAACUACGUGCCAGCAGCCGCGGUAAUACGUAGGGCGCAAGCGUUAUCCGGAAUUAUUGGGCGUAAAGAGCUCGUAGGCGGUUUGUCGCGUCUGCUGUGAAAGCCCGGGGCUCAACCCCGGGUCUGCAGUGGGUACGGGCAGACUAGAGUGCAGUAGGGGAGACUGGAAUUCCUGGUGUAGCGGUGAAAUGCGCAGAUAUCAGGAGGAACACCGAUGGCGAAGGCAGGUCUCUGGGCUGUAACUGACGCUGAGGAGCGAAAGCAUGGGGAGCGAACAGGAUUAGAUACCCUGGUAGUCCAUGCCGUAAACGUUGGGCACUAGGUGUGGGGGACAUUCCACGUUUUCCGCGCCGUAGCUAACGCAUUAAGUGCCCCGCCUGGGGAGUACGGCCGCAAGGCUAAAACUCAAAGGAAUUGACGGGGGCCCGCACAAGCCGGCGGAGCAUGCGGAUUAAUUCGAUGCAACGCGAAGAACCUUACCAAGGCUUGACAUGAACCGGUAACGCUCAGAGAUGGGCGCCCCCUCUUGUGGCCGGGUUACAGGUGGUGCAUGGUUGUCGUCAGCUCGUGUCGUGAGAUGUUGGGUUAAGUCCCGCAACGAGCGCAACCCUCGUUCUAUGUUGCCAGCGCGUUUUGGCGGGGACUCAUAGGAGACUGCCGGGGUCAACUCGGAGGAAGGUGGGGACGAC